rnacentral:misc_RNA from 1 species
CGCCAGUACGAGGAGAAUAAUUGUAAUCGAGGGGGAUAUUGCAAUUUUAUGCACGUAAAGAUGAUUGGGAAGGAUUUGAGGAGGAAGCUGUUCGGUAGGUACCGGGGAUAUAGGCGGAGCCGGAGCAGGAGUAGAAGUUUGAGUCCGCGGAACCGGAAAGAGUACGAUAGGCGUGAGAGGGAUUACAGGGAUCGUGACUAUCGGGGAAACGGACGGAGCAGGGAGCGUCAGGAUAGGGAUGGGGGAAGGAGAAGGCAUGGUAGCCCAAGACGAAGCAGAAGCCCUGUCACUGCGAGAGAAGGUAGCGAAGAGCGGCGUGCCCGUAUUGAACAGUGGAACCGAGAAAGGGAGGAGAAGCAGUGACGUCUUCAUAUUUUUCUAUUUGGUAAUUUACUAAUUGUUCUGUGCUCUCUGUCAUUGAAUUAUGUACCUUACUUACCACUUACACCACACUACUCCUGCCUGAAUAGGAAGCAGAAAUCUUUUUAGACAAGACGAUGG